UAGGGAAUCUUCGGCAAUGGGGGGAACCCAGACCGAGCAACGCCGCGUGAGUGAAGAAGGUUUUCGGAUCGUAAAGCUCUGUUGUUAAGGAAGAACGAGUGUGAGAAUGGAAAGUUCAUACUGUGACGGUACUUAACCAGAAAGGGACGGCUAACUACGUGCCAGCAGCCGCGGUAAUACGUAGGUCCCGAGCGUUGUCCGGAUUUAUUGGGCGUAAAGCGAGCGCAGGCGGUUAGAUAAGUCUGAAGUUAAAGGCAGUGGCUCAACCAUUGUAGGCUUUGGAAACUGUUUAACUUGAGUGCAGAAGGGGAGAGUGGAAUUCCAUGUGUAGCGGUGAAAUGCGUAGAUAUAUGGAGGAACACCGGUGGCGAAAGCGGCUCUCUGGUCUGUAACUGACGCUGAGGCUCGAAAGCGUGGGGAGCGAACAGG
rnacentral:rRNA from 1 species